GGAGCUCUCCUUCUAUAAGUGUCAUGGUGGCACGCGCUUGUUAAACUUCGGUGGGCUGAUGCUAACUUGAAUAACGACUUUAUUUGUAGUAAUAACGGUCUAAAACCAACGAGAAACAACCGGUCGGAGUAAUGUCGCUCCAGAAGCAUGCUACUGAAGGUGAAACUUGGCGAAGCCCAAAAGUUUGUUAGAAUAACGGAGCCAAAUCUGUCAGACUUUUUGAAUGCAGCAUUUGCCAAAUUUGGUGUCCCAGCUGUAAUGGAAGGUGUCAGAGUCGUUGACAGUUCAGGGACUGAGUUGGAUGAUGAUGUCUUUGAGGACAUCAUAAAAGAUCCCUCCACUGGGGUGCUAACCAUUACAUAUGAAAAAGAAUUUGUCUCCAUGGUAGCCUCAACUGAGUCACAGGUUUCAUCUGUUGCUUCAUCAGACUCUGAUACAAUUAUCCUUCCAGACAGCCCUUCCAGAAAGCGUCAGAGGCUGGAUUCGGAAGCUAAGCAACUGGUGGAAUCCGUUCUUACCAAGAAAUCUGGUGGAGAAUAUAUAAUAAAUGAAUACAACCGAACUAAGUCCUUGGCAGAUGAGAGCAGAAGGAAAAUGGUGAACAUACUGGUAGCUGAUAUGACAGAGAAGAAUGGUACAUCUCCACCAGACAGGUGAAAGAAAUGUAUGCGUGAGGAAUUGUGAGCUUCUUUCCCUACCUCAGAGACCCAUUCUCCAAGUAUGGCUAUGAGCAUUAUUAUGAUGGUGACAGUGGCACUGGGUACUUGGCCUGGAGACUUAAAACUUUUCAGAGAUGCAGUAUUAAAGACAGGCGAUCUUUAUUUGGAGCAUCAGCAGAAGGACCAUCUGGUGAGGACAUUCCGGGAGGACCAACUGUCAGACGAGUUUCCCAAUUCGUUCCAGAGACUGUCCUCGGUGAAGAUGAGUGCAAGGAAGCGAUCUCACUGAUGAAACAUUCAGCUGAUGAGGACAUGGUCAGGAAGAAGAUGAAGCUGACAUUUGUCCAUCGACGUAACAUGGUCCUUGACCCACAGCAGUCAAAUGACAUACUAUGUGAUUUUCCACGUUUCAAAGACAUCAAAGGCUUGGCAAUUAUCUCAUUUUAACAGUUUUAUAGUACUUUAAUCGUUUUCAAUUCAGUAGAUGGGAAUUAUAUCAAUAUUUUAUAACUAUUGCACCUUCUCACUAUGGUUGACUGUGUAAUCCUGAAAUUAUCACCAAACAUCCCACUGCAGGUUGAACAGGAUUUUGUUCUGAUGUUUGGUGAGGAUGUAUCAGACAAGUUUCUGGAGAAGUGGCCAACCACAUUCAAGAAAAAAAUUCAACAAUGCAGAAAGCUUCCCUCCAUCAGUGAGCUUCAGGACCUCCUGCUGGCAGCUGAUCCUCCUGAGGAUAGGGCUGAAGUGGAUGUUGAUUUUGGUUGGGACAGGGACCUCUCAUCAAUUUUACUGCUCCUACACUUGAUUCCACCUACUGCUCUGGGUCGAAAGAGACCAGGAAAGGUGUCUGCGUCUGCGGCUGAGAAGCAUCUUGUGGUUUUCAAGAAGAUUUGUAUUUUUUCUUAAUUGAUAAGACUGGAACAAGCAUUCAAGAGCAUCUUGAUGCCAUUACUACGAGCACUCAACCCUGUCUCUUGGCUGUUAGAGCGAGGAAGAACGCUAUCCACCAGUUCUUCGUCAUUCUCGACAAGAAUGCCACACCUUGCAGGUCAUCCUCUUCUCUUGGUGCUUUUGAUGAACUGUUUAAGACACACUUUGUGUUUGGGACAUCAUUCAACACCAUGCUCCACAACAUGUACGUGUUCAUCCAGACCACUGUGUACAACAGUGAUGUCGGCAAAGUCAAAGAGAGUCCUUGUGUUGCAGAAGUGAGGGCGAGGUUGCUUCUGUAGUGUUUGACAUUGGUCUUCCAUCAUAAAGUGCUUUGUUUGUCAGGCUGAGUUAACUAGUUCAAACAUGCUUGUUCGACAUUUACGGCUAGUUCAUGGUUACCUGCCUGGAAAAAAUCUAAGCCUUAAAUGCAUUCAAACUGGAUGUGGCCGUGUGUUUGGUACUUUUUCUGGUUUUAGGAAGCAUUUGAACACCAAACACACUGAGUGUGCUGAACAACAGAUUGACACCAAUGUUGACUUAAACAGGGUAGAUGAGGCAGCAACAAUUAAUAUAGAUGAGACAGCCACAAUAUCAGAGUCAAGAAACUCUAAUAGUUGUCUGGAUAUGUGUGCCAGUGCUGUUGCACAACUUAAGGCAGCUGGAUUAAAUCAGUCUACUGUAAAUAGUUUUCUUAUCUAUGGAGGAAGUGUUUUUUGAGAUUCAUAGGCAAAAGAUGCAGCUAUGCAAUGUUUAUCUCCACAGGACACAGACAGUAAGGACAAAUUAGACCAAACCUUCCGAAAGUUUGAAAACCCAUUCACACCCUUAAAUUCAAAAACUAAACGGAAAAAAAUACUUUGCAGAGAAAUGGGGAAAUAUUGAACCUGUUGAAAAGGUGCUUGGCACAAGAUUUGACAGCAGAAGAAACAAAACUACUGGGACAUAUGACCAGGUCAUUGUAACUGAUAAGUUUGCAUAUGUUCCCAUUUUGGAAACACUGAAGACAAUUCUUCAAAACCCAGAAAUUGCAAACAUGUUCAAGCCCAGACUAAAGCCAAAGGAAGGAGUGUAUGCAGACUUAAGGGAUGCCACCUAUUGUAAAGAAAAUCCCCUGUUUUCUGUUGUAAAAGAUGCCUUGCAGAUUCAGCUGUUUUAUGACGACUUUGAAACUGCAAAUCCUUUGGGCUCUAAAAAGGGUGUACAUAAAUUAGGUGCUAUAUAUUUUACAUUGAGGAAUUUCCCCCAAUUUUUAAUUCCUCUUUAAUUAAUAUUCAUUUGUGUGCUCUUUUCCAUGCACAGGACAUCAAACAUUAUGGUUUUAAUUCGAUACUGGAGCCACUUGUCAAUGAUCUGAAAAGACUUGAGAUGGAGGGACUUGAAAUUCCCACGUUUAACCGUAGGAUUCGGGGUACUCUAAUUCAGGUCACUGGAGAUAAUCUUGGUUUGCAUAGUCUGUUUGGCUUUGUGGAGUCGUUUGGGGCUCGAUAUUGCUGUCGUUUUUGUCUCCUUGAAAAAGAUGGAGUUCAGACUGUGUUCUGUGAAGAUGAUCCUAGGAUUGUAUUAAGAACUGUGGAGAUGCAUGCAAUGCACUGUCAAACUAUACACGCAGAUCCUACAUGAGGUAACAUGUAUAUGGUGUGAAACGCUUUUGUCUGUUGAACUCUCUUCAGUAUUUCAAUACAGCAACCAAUUAUUCUGUAGAUGUAAUGCAUGAUAUUUUAGAGGGGGUUGCUCAGUUUGAGAUGAAACUUGUUCUGCAGUACAUUAAGGAUAACUUCCUCAGUGAUGAACAACUAGCUGGUAUAAUACAUGCGUUUGACUAUGGGUACAAUCAGCAACGAAACCGUCCAGCGAGAGUAAAGUUGUUUAACGGAAGUAAUGAUUUGGGCCUGAAUGCCAUACAGUCUUGGUGCUUACUGCGCAACAUGCCUUUAAUAUUUGGAGAUGUAUUCCAGUCAGAUGAUAAGUACUGGGAUCUUUUGCUUCUACACAUUGUCAACAUUGUUUUUUCACCUGUCCUGUCAGAGGGUGUGACCGUUUACCUCAAACAUUUAAUCAUUAUCAUCGGCUCUUCAAGCAUUUAUUUCCUGCAAUCAACCUCUUACCAAAGCAUCACUUCAUGAUUCAUUACCCUUGUCGUAUAAGGAAAAUUGGCCCGGUUCUGCACAUGUGGUGCAUGCGUUAUGAAGCUAAGCACAAUUUCUUCAAGAAACAUUUAAAAUGCUUUAAAAACAUUACACUGACAUUAGCCAAAAAGCACCAGAGUUGUAUGGCAAUGUAUCAGGAGACCAUAAGCAAGGAGAGAUUAAGUUUAGGUCCAGGAAAGAUGGUGACGCUUGAUGAGCUCAAGGAAGGUCCAGGGGUUGCUUCCAAAUUUGGAGCUGUAUUGUCAACAGCUAGUGUGUAUUCUGCCAAAUGGAUAAAACAUCAUGGUACAGAGUACCGCUGUGGCUUCAUUGUCUGUACUGAGGUGGCCUUUGAUCUGCCUGUGUUUUGUAAGAUAACAACUAUUGUUGUGAAAGAUGAUAUUGUAUUGCUCUGUGGAAAACUGAUGGAAACACUGUGUUUUGAUGAGCAUUACCAUGCCUUUAAGAUUAGGCUGCAUCCAGACAAAGUUUGAAAGGUGUUGGACAUAAAUGAACUGACUUACUUCAAACCAUUUGAUGUUCAAAUGGCAUAUGGAACAUUGAGUUCAUCAUUAUAUGUUGUCCCAUAUUGCAAUUUUAUGCCGUCUUAAAGUCAGUGUUUUUAUAUUUUCUACCUGAUGAUAUUUUGGCCUGACAGGAAAAUAAAAGUUUUUGAAUGUA